AUCUAUUUAGUAUAAAUAAGUACAUUUGACUUCCAAUUAAAUAGUUUAAACCAUUAAAAUAGAUA
rnacentral:tRNA from 1 species